AAGCGGCAACAGCUCAAAUUUGAAAUCUGGCUCUUUUAGAGUCCGAGUUGUAAUUUGCAGAGGGCGCUUUGGCUUUGGCAGCGGUCCAAGUUCCUUGGAACAGGACGUCACAGAGGGUGAGAAUCCCGUACGUGGUCGCUGGCUAUUGCCGUGUAAAGCCCCUUCGACGAGUCGAGUUGUUUGGGAAUGCAGCUCUAAAUGGGAGGUACAUUUCUUCUAAAGCUAAAUAUUGGCCAGAGACCGAUAGCGCACAAGUAGAGUGAUCGAAAGAUGAAAAGCACUUUGGAAAGAGAGUCAAACAGCACGUGAAAUUGUUGAAAGGGAAGCGCUUGCAGCCAGACUUGCUUGCAGUUGCUCAUCCGGGCUUUUGCCCGGUGCACUCUUCUGCAGGCAGGCCAGCAUCAGUUUGGGCGGUAAGAUAAAGGUCUCUGUCACGUACCUCUCUUCGGGGAGGCCUUAUAGGGGAGACGACAUAUUACCAGCCUGGACUGAGGUCCG
rnacentral:rRNA from 1 species